rnacentral:rRNA from 1 species
GACGAACGCUGGCGGCGUGCUUAACACAUGCAAGUCGAACGGAAAGGCCUCUUUCGGGGGGUACUCGAGUGGCGAACGGGUGAGUAACACGUGAGUAACCUGCCCUUGACUUUGGGAUAACUUCAGGAAACUGGGGCUAAUACCGGAUAGGAGCUCCUGCUGCAUGGUGGGGGUCGGAAAGUUUCGGCGGUUGGGGAUGGACUCGCGGCUUAUCAGCUUGUUGGUGGGGUAGUGGCUUACCAAGGCUUUGACGGGUAGCCGGCCUGAGAGGGUGACCGGCCACAUUGGGACUGAGAUACGGCCCAGACUCCUACGGGAGGCAGCAGUGGGGAAUAUUGCACAAUGGGUGGAAGCCUGAUGCAGCAACGCCGUGUGCGGGAUGACGGCCUUCGGGUUGUAAACCGCUUUCGCUCAUGACGAAGCUUUGUGUGACGGUAGUGGGUAAAGAAGCACCGGCUAACUACGUG